CGUACGAUCACCGAAGUUAAACAACGUCGAGCCUGGUCAGUACUUAGAUGGGUGACCAUUUGAGAAUACCAAGUGCUGUAAG